rnacentral:rRNA from 1 species
UACGAAGGGGGCAAGCGUUGUUCGGAAUUACUGGGCGUAAAGCGCGCGUAGGCGGCUUGCCAAGUCAGGCGUGAAAUCCCCGGGCUCAACCUGGGAGCUGCGCUUGAUACUGGUUGGCUUGAAUGCGGGAGAGGAUAGUGGAAUUCCCAGUGUAGAGGUGAAAUUCGUAGAUAUUGGGAAGAACACCGGUGGCGAAGGCGGCUAUCUGGACUGUGAUUGACGCUGAGGCGCGAAAGCGUGGGGAGCAAACAGG